rnacentral:miRNA from 1 species
AGGAUGUUGGAAUUUCCAACAUGUAUAUUAAAAUAUACAUGUUGGAAAUUCCAACAUCCU